rnacentral:rRNA from 1 species
GGAAUAUUGGACAAUGGGCGAAAGCCUGAUCCAGCCAUGCCGCGUGUGUGAAGAAGGUCUUCGGAUUGUAAAGCACUUUAAGUUGGGAGGAAGGGCAGUAAAUUAAUACUUUGCUGUUUUGACGUUACCGACAGAAUAAGCACCGGCUAACUCUGUGCCAGCAGCCGCGGUAAUACAGAGGGUGCAAGCGUUAAUCGGAAUUACUGGGCGUAAAGCGCGCGUAGGUGGUUUGUUAAGUUGGAUGUGAAAUCCCCGGGCUCAACCUGGGAACUGCAUUCAAAACUGACAAGCUAGAGUAUGGUAGAGGGUGGUGGAAUUUCCUGUGUAGCGGUGAAAUGCGUAGAUAUAGGAAGGAACACCAGUGGCGAAGGCGACCACCUGGACUGAUACUGACACUGAGGUGCGAAAGCGUGGGGAGCAAACAGGAUUAGAUACCCCAG